rnacentral:rRNA from 1 species
AUUGAACGCUGGCGGCAGGCCUAACACAUGCAAGUCGAGCGGAUGAAGGGAGCUUGCUCCUGGAUUCAGCGGCGGACGGGUGAGUAAUGCCUAGGAAUCUGCCUGGUAGUGGGGGAUAACGUCCGGAAACGGGCGCUAAUACCGCAUACGUCCUGAGGGAGAAAGUGGGGGAUCUUCGGACCUCACGCUAUCAGAUGAGCCUAGGUCGGAUUAGCUAGUUGGUGGGGUAAAGGCCUACCAAGGCGACGAUCCGUAACUGGUCUGAGAGGAUGAUCAGUCACACUGGAACUGAGACACGGUCCAGACUCCUACGGGAGGCAGCAGUGGGGAAUAUUGGACAAUGGGCGAAAGCCUGACCCAGCCAUGCCGCGUGCGUGAAGAAGGUCUUCGGAUUGUAAAGCACUUUAAGUUGGGAGGAAGGGCAGUAAGUUAAUACCUUGCUGUUUUGACGUUACCAACAGAAUAAGCACCGGCUAACUUCGUG